CCAGCAGCUGCGGUAAUUCCAGCUCCAAUAGCGUAUAUUUAAGUUGUUGCAGUUAAAAAGCUCGUAGUUGGAUUUCGGGUGGGUUCCAGCGGUCCGCCUAUGGUGAGUACUGCUGUGGCCCUCCUUUCUGUCGGGGACGGGCUCCUGGGCUUCACUGUCCGGGACUCGGAUUCGACGAUGAUACUUUGAGUAAAUUAGAGUGUUCAAAGCAAGCCUACGCUCUGAAUACUUUAGCAUGGAAUAUCGCGAUAGGACUCUGGCCUAUCUCGUUGGUCUGUAGGACCGGAGUAAUGAUUAAGAGGGACAGUCGGGGGCAUUCGUAUUUCAUUGUCAGAGGUGAAAUUCUUGGA
rnacentral:rRNA from 1 species